UUUUAUGUUUUUGUUGAUGUUCACAUUGACGAUAAGCCGUACAAUCGGGCGGCUCCAUCGUCUGAAUUGUAGUCUGGAGAAGCGUCCUCAACUGCGGAAUGGGCCCGAGUCCCCUGUUAGGGGGCACCAGAGAGGGUGGGAAACCCAUCGUAACCAGACCCUAAUGGACCACAAGGCGCAGUGUACGAGUCAGGUCAUUGUGUAAUGCCGCCCAAAUUGGGCAGUGAAUUCCAUCCAAGGCUAAAUACUGGCGAGAGAUCGAUAGAAAACAAGAACCGCGAGGGAAAGAUGAAUAAGACUUUGAAAAUAGAGUCAAAGAGUGCUUGAAAUUGUUUGGAGGGAAGCGGAUGGGGUUAGGCGGUUCACUCACUUGAAUGUGAAACGGUGACAACACGAUUCGCCGAUCGACUCGUGGCAUGGACUAAAAUAAAUUGGGGGCGGCCGAAGUCCGGGCUGUCUAUACUCCCGUGGAACGCCGUCUCCUUGAUUGUGGAAGACAGCACGCGCCUAUGUCGUGCUUCGACAUCUUCGCACUCUAGACAUUGGCAUGUGCGCUCCGCAUUCGACCCGUCUUGAAACACAGACCAAGGAAUCUUACAUAUGUGUGAGUCAACGAGCGAGUAAACCCGUAAGGUGCAACGAAACUGAUUGGUGGGAUCCCCCAAGGGGUGCACCGCCGAUCGGCCAUGAUCUUCUAGGAAGGGUUCGAGUAUGAGCAUACAUAUCAGCACCCGAACGAUGGUGAACUAUGUCAGAGCCAGAGGAAACUUUGAUGGAGGGCCGCAAGGAUACCGACAUACAAAUCGUUCGUCUGACUUGGGUAUAUGGACGAAAGACUAAUCGAACCGUCCAGUAGCUGGUUCCCUCUUAAUUUUCCCUCAAGAUAGCUGGAGCUCGCGUGCGAGUUCAAUCAGGUAAAUCCAAUGAUUAGAGGCCUCGGGGCCGCAAUGCCCUCGACCUAUUCUCAAACUUUAAAUAGGUAGGACGGUGCGACUAUGGAUGGCGCUUAAGCGCGCAACCUACACCCGGCCGUCGGGUCAAGUUCCAGGCUUCGAUGAGUAUGAGGACACGACGGUCCUUGCAAAACCUUGGGCGUGAGCCUAGGUUGAGCGGCCGUUGUUGCAGAUCUUUGUAGUAGUAGAAAAUAUUCAAAUUAGAACUUUGAAAGCCGAUGAAGAGAAAGGAUCCAUGUGAAUGGCACUUGCUCAUGGGUAUGCCGAUCCUAAGGGUUAAGGGAACCCCGACAGAUAGCACGUUUCAUGCGUACUCCGAUAUGCAAUUUGGUUAACAUUCCUUAACUGGGACAUGGUGUUACUCUUCAAUACAGUCACUAUCAACAUUCAUGAUCACUUUCGCUAGUGCCUCAACACAAAUAUGCUCUUCUAUUUGUACCUCGGAAGAAUUCUCUACCUUGUAGGGUAUCACAGAU
rnacentral:rRNA from 1 species